GAUGAACGCUAGCGGCAGGCCUAAUACAUGCAAGUCGAACGGUGUCUUCGGACAUAGUGGCGCACGGGUGCGUAACACGUAUGCAACCUACCUUACAUUGGGGGAUAGCCUUUCGAAAGGGAGAUUAAUACCGCAUAAGACAGUAACUAGGCAUCUAAUAGCUGUUAAAGAUUUAUCGAUGUAAGCUGGGCAUGCGUCCAAUUAGUUAGUUGGCGAGGUAAUGGCUCACCAAGACGAUGAUUGGUAGGGGAACUGAGAGGUCAAUCCCCCACACUGGCACUGAGAUACGGGCCAGACUCCUACGGGAGGCAGCAGUAGGGAAUAUUGGGCAAUGGGCGCAAGCCUGACCCAGCCAUGCCGCGUGCAGGAAGAAGGCGUUCUGCGUUGUAAACUGCUUUUAUAUAGGAAGAAACGACCCUUGCGAGGGGCAUUGACGGUACUAUAUGAAUAAGCACCGGCUAACUCCGUGCCAGCAGCCGCCGCAGUAA
rnacentral:rRNA from 1 species